rnacentral:rRNA from 1 species
AUUGAACGCUGGCGGCAUGCCUUACACAUGCAAGUCGAACGGCAGCACGGGAGCUUGCUCCUGGUGGCGAGUGGCGAACGGGUGAGUAAUACAUCGGAACGUACCCUGAAGUGGGGGAUAACGUAGCGAAAGUUACGCUAAUACCGCAUAUUCUGUGAGCAGGAAAGAGGGGGAUCGCAAGACCUCUUGCUUUAGGAGCGGCCGAUGUCGGAUUAGCUAGUUGGUGAGGUAAAGGCUCACCAAGGCGACGAUCCGUAGCGGGUCUGAGAGGAUGAUCCGCCACACUGGGACUGAGACACGGCCCAGACUCCUACGGGAGGCAGCAGUGGGGAAUUUUGGACAAUGGGCGCAAGCCUGAUCCAGCCAUGCCGCGUGAGUGAAGAAGGCCUUCGGGUUGUAAAGACUCUUCGUGGGAGAA